GUGAUGCUUUGGUAAGCCACAAGCUGAGCAAAACAAGGCUUCUUUGGAGAUAAUCCCCUGCAAAAAGGAGAUCAUGGGGACUAUAGGAUUUCAGGACAAGGCUCCUGUCCUGCUGCCAGAUCAACAUGCCUGAAAUCCCACUGACAACCCUGUGCUCCAUACAGGAUCUGAAAUUCUCUUCUGGCUUUCCUGGGCAGCACCUUUCAAAUCUCCU